GACGAACGCUGGCGGCGUGCCUAAUACAUGCAAGUCGAACGCACAGUUUAUACCGUAGCUUGCUACACCAUAGACUGUGAGUUGCGAACGGGUGAGUAACGCGUAGGUAACCUGCCUGGUAGCGGGGGAUAACUAUUGGAAACGAUAGCUAAUACCGCAUAAUAUUAAUUAUUGCAUGAUAAUUAAUUGAAAGGUGCAAUUGCACCACUACCAGAUGGACCUCCGUUGUAUUAGCUAGUAGGUGAGGUAACGAGUCACCUAGGCGACGAUACAUAUCCGAACCGAGAGGGUGAUCGGCCACACUGGGACUGGGACACGGCCCAGGCUCCUAAGGGAAGCAGCCGUAGGGAAACUUCGGCAAUGGACGGAAGGCUGACCGAGCAACGCCGCGUGAGUGAAUAAGGGUUUCGGAUCGGAAAGCUCUGUUUUAAGAGAAGAACGGGUGUGGGAGUGGAAAGUUCACGCUGUGACGGUACCUUACCAGAAAGGGACGGCUAACUACGUG
rnacentral:rRNA from 1 species